rnacentral:rRNA from 1 species
CCUACGGGCGGCAGCAGUGAGGAAUAUUGGUCAAUGGGAGAGAUCCUGAACCAGCCAAGCCGCGUGAAGGAAGAAGGCUUUCGGGUUGUAAACUUCUUUUGUCAGGGACGAAGCAAGUGACGGUACCUGACGAAUAAGCCACGGCUAACUACGUGCCAGCAGCCGCGGUAAUACGUAGGGGGCAAGCGUUAUCAGGAUUUACUGGGUGGAAAGGGCGUGUAGGCGGGACUGCAAGUCAGAUGUGAAAACCACGGGCUCAACCUGUGGCCUGCAUUUGAAACUGUAGUUCUUGAGUACUGGAGAGGCAGGUGGAAUUCCUAGUGUAGCGGUGAAAUGCGUAGAUAUUAGGAGGAACACCAGUGGCGAAGGCGGUCUGCUGGACAGCAACUGACGCUGAGGCACGAAAGCGUGGGGAGCAAACAGGAUUAGAUACCCCGGUAGUC